rnacentral:rRNA from 1 species
UACAGAGGGUGCAAGCGUUAAUCGGAAUUAUUGGGCGUAAAGCGCAUGUAGGCGGAGAGGCAAGUUUGAUGUGAAAGCCCUGGGCUUAACCUGGGAACGGCGUUGAAGACUGUUUUUCUAGAGUCUGGCAGAGGGCCGUGGAAUUUCCGGUGUAGCAGUGAAAUGCGUAGAGAUCGGAAAGAACACCAGUGGCGAAGGCGACGGCCUGGGCCAAGACUGACGCUGAGGUGCGAAAGCGUGGGGAGCAAACAGG